rnacentral:rRNA from 1 species
ACAGCAGUCGCCGCGGUAAAACGUAGGUGGCAAGCGUUGUCCGGAAUUAUUGGGCGUAAAGGGCUCGCAGGCGGUUUCUUAAGUCUGACGUGAAAGCCCCCGGCUCAACCGGGGAGGGUCAUUGGAAACUGGGAAACUUGAGUGCAGAAGAGGAGAGUGGAAUUCCACGUGUAGCGGUGAAAUGCGUAGAGAUGUGGAGGAACACCAGUGGCGAAGGCGACUCUCUGGUCUGUAACUGACGCUGAGGAGCGAAAGCGUGGGGAGCGAACAGGAUUAGAGACCCCCGUAGUCCCUGUCUCUUAUAC